rnacentral:rRNA from 1 species
AAAUUGAAGAGUUUGAUCAUGGCUCAGAUUGAACGCUGGCGGCAGGCCUAACACAUGCAAGUCGAGCGGUAGCACAGAGAGCUUGCUCUCGGGUGACGAGCGGCGGACGGGUGAGUAAUGUCUGGGAAACUGCCUGAUGGAGGGGGAUAACUACUGGAAACGGUAGCUAAUACCGCAUAAUGUCGCAAGACCAAAGUGGGGGACCUUCGGGCCUCAUGCCAUCAGAUGUGCCCAGAUGGGAUUAGCUAGUAGGUGGGGUAACGGCUCACCUAGGCGACGAUCCCUAGCUGGUCUGAGAGGAUGACCAGCCACACUGGAACUGAGACACGGUCCAGACUCCUACGGGAGGCAGCAGUGGGGAAUAUUGCACAAUGGGCGCAAGCCUGAUGCAGCCAUGCCGCGUGUGUGAAGAAGGCCUUCGGGUUGUAAAGCACUUUCAGCGGGGAGGAAGGCGAUAAGGUUAAUAACCUUGUCGAUUGACGUUACCCGCAGAAGAAGCACCGGCUAACUCCGUGCCAGCAGCCGCGGUAAUACGGAGGGUGCAAGCGUUAAUCGGAAUUACUGGGCGUAAAGCGCACGCAGGCGGUCUGUCAAGUCGGAUGUGAAAUCCCCGGGCUCAACCUGGGAACUGCAUUCGAAACUGGCAGGCUAGAGUCUUGUAGAGGGGGGUAGAAUUCCAGGUGUAGCGGUGAAAUGCGUAGAGAUCUGGAGGAAUACCGGUGGCGAAGGCGGCCCCCUGGACAAAGACUGACGCUCAGGUGCGAAAGCGUGGGGAGCAAACAGGAUUAGAUACCCUGGUAGUCCACGCCGUAAACGAUGUCGAUUUGGAGGUUGUGCCCUUGAGGCGUGGCUUCCGGAGCUAACGCGUUAAAUCGACCGCCUGGGGAGUACGGCCGCAAGGUUAAAACUCAAAUGAAUUGACGGGGGGCCCGCACAAGCGGUGGAGCAUGUGGUUUAAUUCGAUGCAACGCGAAGAACCUUACCUGGUCUUGACAUCCACAGAACUUAGCAGAGAUGCUUUGGUGCCUUCGGGAACUGUGAGACAGGUGCUGCAUGGCUGUCGUCAGCUCGUGUUGUGAAAUGUUGGGUUAAGUCCCGCAACGAGCGCAACCCUUAUCCUUUGUUGCCAGCGGUCCGGCCGGGAACUCAAAGGAGACUGCCAGUGAUAAACUGGAGGAAGGUGGGGAUGACGUCAAGUCAUCAUGGCCCUUACGACCAGGGCUACACACGUGCUACAAUGGCAUAUACAAAGAGAAGCGACCUCGCGAGAGCAAGCGGACCUCAUAAAGUAUGUCGUAGUCCGGAUUGGAGUCUGCAACUCGACUCCAUGAAGUCGGAAUCGCUAGUAAUCGUAGAUCAGAAUGCUACGGUGAAUACGUUCCCGGGCCUUGUACACACCGCCCGUCACACCAUGGGAGUGGGUUGCAAAAGAAGUAGGUAGCUUAACCUUCGGGAGGGCGCUUACCACUUUGUGAUUCAUGACUGGGGUGAAGUCGUAACAAGGUAACCGUAGGGGAACCUGCGGUUGGAUCACCUCCUUA